rnacentral:rRNA from 1 species
GCCUGAUGCAGCGACGCCGCGUGAGGGAUGACGGCCUUCGGGUUGUAAACCUCUUUCAGCAGGGAAGAAGCCACAAGUGACGGUACCUGCAGAAGAAGCGCCGGCUAACUACGUGCCAGCAGCCGCGGUAAUACGUAGGGCGCAAGCGUUGUCCGGAAUUAUUGGGCGUAAAGAGCUCGUAGGCGGUUUGUCGCGUCUGCUGUGAAAGCCCGGGGCUCAACCCCGGGUCUGCAGUGGGUACGGGCAGACUAGAGUGCAGUAGGGGAGACUGGAAUUCCUGGUGUAGCGGUGAAAUGCGCAGAUAUCAGGAGGAACACCGAUGGCGAAGGCAGGUCUCUGGGCUGUUACUGACGCUGAGGAGCGAAAGCAUGGGGAGCGAACAGGAUUAGAUACCCUGGUAGUCCAUGCCGUAAACGUUGGGCACUAGGUGUGGGGGACAUUCCACGUUCUCCGCGCCGUAGCUAACGCAUUAAGUGCCCCGCCUG